CCUUUGGAAGUUAAAAAUCGUAACAAGGUCUCCGUUGUUUGCUCCGCGGAGGGAUCAUU
rnacentral:rRNA from 1 species